CCUACGGGAGGCUGCAGUGGGGAAUAUUGCACAAUGGGCGCAAGCCUGAUGCAGCCAUGCCGCGUGUGUGAAGAAGGCCUUCGGGUUGUAAAGCACUUUCAGCGGGGAGGAAGGCGUUAAGGUUAAUAACCUUGUCGAUUGACGUUACCCGCAGAAGAAGCACCGGCUAACUCCGUGCCAGCAGCCGCGGUAAUACGGAGGGUGCAAGCGUUAAUCGGAAUUACUGGGCGUAAAGCGCACGCAGGCGGUCUGUCAAGUCGGAUGUGAAAUCCCCGGGCUCAACCUGGGAACUGCAUUCGAAACUGGCAGGCUAGAGUCUUGUAGAGGGGGGUAGAAUUCCAGGUGUAGCGGUGAAAUGCGUAGAGAUCUGGAGGAAUACCGGUGGCGAAGGCGGCCCCCUGGACAAAGACUGACGCUCAGGUGCGAAAGCGUGGGGAGCGAACAGGAUUAGAUACCCUUGUAGUC
rnacentral:rRNA from 1 species